UUUUGUUUCUCUCCUGUUUCCCAUUCCUCUCCAAGAUGCCAUAAAGAUAGCACAAGAUAGAAAGAAAGUAAUGGGAAAGCUGAAUAAUUGAAAUGUCAUGGACGAGCAACAAUUCAGAGCAAGGAAUGACCACAUCUGAGAUUGGAAAUGGGUUUCAAGCCCUCAUAUCAGAAGAGGAAAACUGCACCCUCAUUUUCCAGGAGAAGUUAUCGAAUUCUGGAGAUGUUCAUGGUCGAUGAUCCAUCAGCACAUGAUAAAAGGAAUUGUCAUGUAUGAGCAUCAUCCGGAUAACUUUGCAUUUUUUGUGUUAACUUCCUAUGAGUGCCAAAUAUAUCAG